rnacentral:rRNA from 1 species
UACGUAGGGUGCGAGCGUUAAUCGGAAUUACUGGGCGUAAAGCGUGCGCAGGCAGUGAUGUAAGACAGGUGUGAAAUCCCCGGGCUUAACCUGGGAACUGCAUUUGUGACUGCAUCGCUGGAGUGCGGCAGAGGGGGAUGGAAUUCCGCGUGUAGCAGUGAAAUGCGUAGAUAUGCGGAGGAACACCGAUGGCGAAGGCAAUCCCCUGGGCCUGCACUGACGCUCAUGCACGAAAGCGUGGGGAGCAAACAGG